rnacentral:lncRNA from 1 species
CUGAGAUAUGUACCACAUCCGGUGUGAACAAAAGGAAGCAGCAUGAAAAGGAAAACAGCACUUUAGAUUGCAGUCUUAAGAUACAACUGACACCUGAGAUUCUUGAGACACACACAGACGAAGGAUAGGAUCAGCCUUUUGUGGAGCACCAAAAGAAGAGAUGGAAUAAUUUCAUGGGAUGAAGAAGAAUACAUCUCCACUGCAUCCUGUACUAUCACAAUCUAGAACUUGCUCUGAUAGACUUCCCAUCGAUCCUACAAUGGCUAGCCAAGGUACUAAAAGAAAACGAGAUCAUGAACCAUCUGACUCGAGUAUAGAGACAACACUGACAACAGAUAUGAUCACGGAGAAUGCAAGGCAAAUUCUGCAAAGAGUCACUAAAAACUCAGAUCAAAACGAUAAAGGCAGCAGGAAGAAGGCAACCAUAGGGAUUUUUGGAAAAUCAGGAGAAGGAAAGAGUUCCCUUUUAAGUGCAAUCUUGGGGAAAAAGGAACUCUUACCAUCUGGUUGUUUUGGUGCUUGUACAGCUGUUGUUACUCAGGUGGAAGCCAAUCUGACUGACUCCAACUACAUAGCAGAGAUCGAUCUCUUCUCUAAAGAGGAGUGGGAGAAUGAGCUUAAAGAUGUUUUCAAAGAUAUGAAAGAUGAAAGUGAGGAAAGGAAUGAGGACUUAAUUGAAAUUGGUGUAGAAAAGAUCACUGCGCUGUAUGGAGCUGAUGCAGACCAGAAAACAUUAGAAGAGCUCCAGAAUGAUGAAAAAUUUGCUGAGAUUGAAGCAUUUUUGUCUAUCAGUAAGAAAAUAAUCUCAAACAGUAAUCUCUCUGAAUUUACCAACGAAGUUGCAAGUUUCAUACAACAGUGA